AGCGAACGCUGGCGGCAGGCCUAACACAUGCAAGUCGAACGAAGUCUUCGGACUUAGUGGCGGACGGGUGAGUAACACGUGGGAACGUGCCUUUAGGUUCGGAAUAACUCAGGGAAACUUGUGCUAAUACCGAAUGUUCUCUCCGGGCGAAAGAUUUAUCGCCUUUAGAGCGGCCCGCGUCUGAUUAGCUAGUUGGUGAGGUAAAGGCUCACCAAGGCGCCGAUCAGUAGCUGGUCUGAGAGGAUGAUCAGCCAGAUUGGGACUGAGACACGGCCCAAACUCCUACGGGAGGCAGCAGUUGGGAAUCUUGCGCAAUGGGCGAAAGCCUGACGCAGCCAUGCCGCGUGAAUGAUGAAGGUCUUAGGAUUGUAAAAUUCUUUCACCGGGGACGAUAAUGACGGUACCCGGAGAAGAAGCCCCGGCUAACUUCGUGCCAGCCGCCGCCGUAACAC
rnacentral:rRNA from 1 species